UACCAGCUCUCCGAGUGGUAGGGAUGAUUAUUGGGCUUAAAGCGUCCGUAGCCGGCUUAGCAAGUCUCCUGUUAAAUUCAGCGACCUAAUCGUUGAGCCGCGGGAGAUACUACUAGGCUAGGAGGCGGGAGAGGUCGACGGUACUUCUGGGGUAGGGGUGAAAUCCUAUAAUCCCGGGAGGACCACCAGUGGCGAAGGCUGUCGACUAGAACGCGCUCGACGGUGAGGGACGAAAGCUGGGGGAGCGAACCGGAUUAGAUACCCGGGUAGUCCCAGCUGUAAACGAUGCGAGCUAGGUGUUGGGGUGGCUACGUGCCACUUCAGUGCCGCAGGGAAGCCAUUAAGCUCGCCGCCUGGGGAGUACGGCCGCAAGGCUGAAACUUAAGGAAUUGGCGGGGAGCACCACAAGGCGUGAAGCUUGCGGUUC
rnacentral:rRNA from 1 species